rnacentral:rRNA from 1 species
GAUGAACGCUGGCGGCGUGCUUAACACAUGCGAGUCGAACGACGAAGCCCAGCUUGCUGGGUGGAUUAGUGGCGAACGGGUGAGUAACACGUGAGUAACCUGCCCUUAACUCUGGGAUAAGCCUGGGAAACUGGGUCUAAUACCGGAUAGGAGCGCCUACCGCAUGGUGGGUGUUGGAAAGAUUUAUCGGUUUUGGAUGGACUCGCGGCCUAUCAGCUUGUUGGUGAGGUAAUGGCUCACCAAGGCGACGACGGGUAGCCGGCCUGAGAGGGUGACCGGCCACACUGGGACUGAGACACGGCCCAGACUCCUACGGGAGGCAGCAGUGGGGAAUAUUGCACAAUGGGCGAAAGCCUGAUGCAGCGACGCCGCGUGAGGGAUGACGGCCUUCGGGUUGUAAACCUCUUUCAGUAGGGAAGAAGCGAAAGUGACGGUACCUGCAGAAGAAGCACCGGCUAACUACGU